rnacentral:rRNA from 1 species
CCUACGGGAGGCAGCAGUAGGGAAUCUUUCACAAUGGGCGAAAGCCUGAUGGAGCAACGCCGCGUGCAGGAUGAAGGCCUUCGGGUUGUAAACUGCUUUUAUAAGCGAGAAAUAUGAUGGUAACUUAUGAAUAAGGAUCGGCUAACUACGUGCCAGCAGCCGCGGUCAUACGUAGGAUCCGAGCCUUAUCCGGGGUGACUGGGUGUAAAGAGUUGCGUAGGUUGGAUACUAAGUAGCUAGUGAAAUCUGGUGGCUCAACCAUUCAGACUAUUAGCUAAACUGGUAAGCUCGAGACUGUUAGAGGUAAGUGGAAUUGCUAGUGUAGGAGUGAAAUCCGUAGAUAUUAGAAGGAACACCAAUAGCGUAGGCAGGUUGCUGGGACGGUUCUGACACUAAGGCACGAAAGCGUAGGGAGCAAACGGGAUUAGAUACCCGUGUAGUC